rnacentral:rRNA from 1 species
AACGUAGGAGACAAACGUUAUCCGGAGUUACUGGGCGUAAAGGGCGUGUAGGCGGUUGUGUAAGUCUGGCGUGAAAUUUUUCGGCUUAACCGGGAAAGGUCGUCGGAUACUGCAAAACUAGAGGACGGUAGAGGCGUGUGGAAUUCCGGGUGUAGUGGUGAAAUGCGUAGAGAUCCGGAGGAACACCAGUGGCGAAGGCGACACGCUGGGCCGUACCUGACACUGAUGCGCGACAGCAUGGGGAGCGAACAGG